AGUCGUAACAAGGUUUCUGUAGGUGAACCUGCAGAAGGAUCAUUAGUGAAGAUUUGGGCAGGCCAUACGGACGCCAAAAAAGUGUCCCUGGCCGCCUACACCCACUAUACAUCCACAAACCCGUGUGCACUGUCUUGGAGAAAGGCUUCUUGAGAAGUUAUGUGACCUCUCUUGGAGGUCUUUCUUCGCUACAAACUCGAAUGGUUAGUAUGAACGUGGAACUUGGUUGGACCGUCACUGGCCAACAAACUAUACACAACUUUCGACAACGGAUCUCUUGGUUCUCCCAUCGAUGAAGAACGCAGCGAAACGCGAUAGGUAAUGUGAAUUGCAGAAUUCCGUGAAUCAUCGAAUCUUUGAACGCACCUUGCGCUCUAUGGCAAUCCGUAGAGCAUGCCUGUUUGAGUGCCAUGAAAUCUCCCACCCCAAGCGGUUUUUGAAUGAAACGGCUUGGCGGAUGGGGUCUGGAUGGGUGCCUCUGCCUGUGCUAAACCUUAGCCCACAGGCUCGCCCGAAAUGCAUGAGCGCCUUGGGACACUUUGCAUCCGCCUCUCUUGUGGGAGGAGGCGGCCAGGCAGUGUUUUUCUCCAGGCAUGGCAUGAUACGUCAUUUUGCUAUGUCGCCCAAUGGAGGAAUGUUUGGUUGUGUCUGCGUGUGCUUCGAACUUGCCUCUGUACAAAAUCCCCUUUCACUUUCUGGUCCAAAACAGGUACGAUCACCCGCUGAACUUAAGCUUAUCAAUAAUCGGGAGUAAAUACCUAGUUAUUUCUCAGCCGCCUGCUUGUCGUCCAUAUGGGAAAAUUUCCUAACGCCCUCGGAAUGCAUAGCUUGGAUUAUUCAUUUGUGGUCUCUUAUAUAUUUUUGGUGAUUUUCUGGAUCUUAUUGUUAUCCGUUGUAUAUAUCUCAUUUCCUCACAAUUCUCAUAACUCAAUAAAAUCCGUAAUAAGUCG
rnacentral:rRNA from 1 species